rnacentral:rRNA from 1 species
UACAGAGGUCUCAAGCGUUGUUCGGAUUCAUUGGGCGUAAAGGGUGCGUAGGCGGCCACUCAAGUCGAAUGUGAAACCUCGAGGCUUAACCUCGAGCCUGCAUUCGAUACUGGGCGGCUAGAGUCUGGUAGGGGGAUCUGGAAUUCCUGGUGUAGCGGUGGAAUGCGCAGAUAUCAGGAGGAACACCGGUGGCGAAGGCGGGAUCCUGGGCCAGUACUGACGCUGAGGAGCGAAAGCGUGGGGAGCAAACAGG